rnacentral:rRNA from 1 species
GAUGAACGCUGGCGGCGUGCCUAAUACAUGCAAGUCGAGCGAACGGACGAGAAGCUUGCUUCUCUGAUGUUAGCGGCGGACGGGUGAGUAACACGUGGAUAACCUACCUAUAAGACUGGGAUAACUUCGGGAAACCGGAGCUAAUACCGGAUAAUAUUUUGAACCGCAUGGUUCAAUAGUGAAAGGCGGUCUUGCUGUCACUUAUAGAUGGAUCCGCGCUGCAUUAGCUAGUUGGUAAGGUAACGGCUUACCAAGGCAACGAUGCAUAGCCGACCUGAGAGGGUGAUCGGCCACACUGGAACUGAGACACGGUCCAGACUCCUACGGGAGGCAGCAGUAGGGAAUCUUCCGCAAUGGGCGAAAGCCUGACGGAGCAACGCCGCGUGAGUGAUGAAGGUCUUCGGAUCGUAAAACUCUGUUAUUAGGGAAGAACAUAUGUGUAAGUAACUGUGCACAUCUUGACGGUACCUAAUCAGAAAGCCACGGCUAACUACGUG